GCAAACAUCUUAGAACUUUCACCUAUAAUUUUUUGGAGGGGAGGGUUGUUGUUGUCUUGCUGCUGGGGGUUGAACCCAGGACCAUCACACUGACAACAUCCUCAGUCUUCUUUUUUUUUUUGAGACAGGGUCUCACUAAAUCGCUAUAUUGGCAAGGCUUGAAUUUAUGAUCCUCCUGCUCAGCCUCCCAGAAUGCUGGGAUCACAAGUGUGUGCUGCCCUGCCUGGCUACUGUCAAGACUGGUGCUUGUCUGUGGAUUUGCCACCAUGUCUGGCUAUUCUCUUAUUUCAUUGCCAACCAGCUGCCUUUACUUCUUGGGCCCUAUCGUUUUCAACUACCGCUGGACUUGACAUCCCCUAGGAGACUUUCCUGAGGUCAGGUUGGCCUCUCCUGGGCAGGUGACCCAAGGACUUCAAGGAGCAUGUGGGUGAGAUGAAGAAGAGAAACUUCUAAAGAGAGGGUUGUGCUGGGGGCCAAGCUGGGGCGGCCUGAGACACAGCCCCUGAGCCAGGAGGGACGUCUCCCCUCCCAAAGCAAAGCAAAGGGACAGUGGCUCCCGGAGUGGUCUCUGAUACGCUCAUGAGAUUUCUUGGCUUGGGGUUGCCAGGUUCGCAUCAUAGCUGGACCUGAGCAUGGAGAUGAUAGGAUGUGAGCUGAGCAACAUCUGGGGCCAACUGGCCCUGCAACUGGACAUGUGAGGUGAGGGCACUGGGGAUGAAGGUUCCCACGCACAGGUGGAUGGUGCAGCAUGGGCACUGGGCCUCAGGAUGCCAGGAGCUUUCCAGCUGGCAGAAAGCAAUUUGCGUUCCUGUUGCACUGCCUGUGUUGGUAUGUAGAACAAAGGGAUCUUGGUGGGGAAUGACAUGGUGCGGAUUAUAAACAUGAGGAUGUGAGGUGUGACAAACUAUGGUGAAUGCUUCAAUUUAAAACUGCGUUACAGUAAAAGGCACAUGACCACUGCCCCCCACAGUCCUCACUUGACAUCACUCUUGCCGCUGUCUGAAGCACUUCUGGAAUCCUCUUCUGUGAGUGCCUUUAGCUGUGCAGCCAUGGCUGCCUCCAUGUCCUGGAUGGAUUCAAAAUGUUUCUUUCACGGUCGUUUUGUCUUUGGGAAGAGCCAGUGUCACAUGUUGCCCGAUCUGGUGGACAAGGUGGACGAGGACACACCAUCAUGUUCCAGUCUGCCUUUCCACUGGGUGGCUCGCAGCAGCAGCAUUCACUCUAUUUUUGAUCACCAAAGAGGACUUCCAUGAUUUCUCUGUCGUGGGCCAUUUGAGUGGCCCACAUCCCAGCCCCUGUCCUUCUGUCACAGGGCCCGUGCUGCUGGAGUUCCACUGAGGUGGGAUUCAGCAUGGGCAGAAAGCAGACCCUGAGCCACCCCGUCUUCCUCUGGGCCCUGCUGCUGCUGGCAGAGGCGCAGCCCCCACCCCAGCCCCUCUCCACGACCAAGAGAAAGCCAUUUUCCACCACAGGUAGCCGAGGCCUCCACCUGCAGACCCUGGCCCUGAGCAUUUUCCCAAGUCUCUUCCUCCAUUCCUUCUAGCGGUGAUGGAGCACUGUACACAAGGAAGUCCCUGGCGACCUCACUCCUGAGAGCCACCCUGCGCAAGUUACAAAGUGAGGCUCGCCCCAGAGAGCCAGGAGCAUCAGUGACUCCUGAAGACCUGGGGACAGCGUGACCUUGACUCUGAACAAGCGAGC
ensembl:lncRNA